GGGCGUGUAGCUCAAUGGUAGAGCGGUCGUCUUAUACACGACUGGUUCCUGGUUCGAGUCCAGGCACGCCCA
rnacentral:tRNA from 1 species